AACAAAGCAUUGUGAUGGUCCCUGCGAAUGCUGACACAUUGUGAUUUAUGCCCAGUGCUUUGCAUGUCAAAGUGAAGAAAUUCAACCAAGCACGGGUAAACAACGGGAGUAACUAUGACUCUCUUAAGGUAGCCAUUUGUCUUGUCAUCUAAUUAGUGACGCACAUGAAUGGAUUAAUGAGAUUCCCACGAUCCCUAGAUACUAUCUAGAAAAACCAAAACCAAGGAAAUGGGCUUGGAAGAAUUAGCAGGAAAAGAAGACCCCGUUGACCUUGAAUCUCAUCCGAAUUUGUGAAAUGACUUGAGAGGUGUAGAAUAAGUGUGAGUCAUUUUCAACGCAAGUUUAAUAUGGCCACUACUUUUAAUGUUAUUUUUAUUAUUUUGUGGGGAGGGGAUGAGGUAUUGUGCAUAUGUUAAAAUAUAUUGCACAUUUACUCAAAGUUUUUUCAUUGAUGGCAAUGGUUGAGAUAUCAUUCUUCAUGCACUUGAUGGUAAGGACUUUAGGAAACCAAAGAGGAUAAUUUUUUUUAAGGACUUACAAAUUUCCU
rnacentral:ncRNA from 1 species